AAGUCGUAACAAGGUCUCCGUUGGUGAACCAGCGGAGGGAUCAUUACAGAGUUAUACAACUCCCAUACCAUUUGUAAACUUUACUCAGUUAUGCCUCGGCGUGAACUGCGUACGGAGGCAGAGUGGUGUUACCCGGUAGCUUACCCUGUAGGUUACCCUGUGGCGCUACCCUGUAUCAACUCCCGCGCAGCCCGCCGGUGGUACACUAAACUCUUGUUUUAUUUUAUAUUCUGAGCGUAUUAUUUUAAUAAUUAAAACUUUCAACAACGGAUCUCUUGGUUCUG
rnacentral:misc_RNA from 1 species